GAUACUUAAACUCCCUUCCUGUCUAUAAAGCCCAGUCAGCAUCGAGCCCCAAGAAGUUCCCUAUUUCUAGCCAUUUGAGUGACCUGGGGGAUGUGGAGGAGGACUCCUCACCAGCACAGAAGCCAGGCAAGCUCUCCGACAUGUACUCCUCCACGGUGCCCAGUGUGGACAGUGCUGUGGAUUCAUGGGAUGGGUCUGCAAUAGACACCAGCUAUGGAACUCAAGGCACUAGUUUUCAGGCCUCAGGAUACAAUUUCAACACCUAUGACUGGAGGAGUCCAAAACAGAGAGGCAGCUUGUCCCCAGUCACUAAGCCUCGAAGCCAGACUUACCCAGAUGUGGGGCUGAGUAAUGAAGACUGGGACCGGUCCACAGCCAGUGGUUUUGCAGUGGCUGCCGAUAGUGCAGAGACAGAACAAGAGGAGAACUUCUGGUCUCAAGCGCUGGAGGAUUUGGAAACCUGCGGACAGUCAGGAAUUCUGAGAGAACUGGAGGCAACAAUCAUGUCGGGGAGCACGAUGAGUUUGAAUCAUGAGGCUCCAACACCUCGCAGUCAGC
rnacentral:sRNA from 1 species